rnacentral:tRNA from 1 species
CACCAAAAAGCUAAACUGGGUUGAGCGUUAGCCUUUUAAGCUAAAGAUUGGUGGCUCCCAACCACCUUUGGUGA